rnacentral:rRNA from 1 species
AUUGAACGCUAGCGGCAUGCCUUACACAUGCAAGUCGAACGGAGUGGCGAACGGGUGAGUAAUGUAUCGGCACGUGCCCAGUAGCGGGGGAUAACUACGCGAAAGCGUAGCUAAUACCGCAUACUAUUGGAGCGGCCGAUAGCGGAUUAGCUGGUUGGUGGGGUAACGGCUAACCAAGUCGACGAUCCGUAGCUGGUUUGAGAGGACGACCAGCCACACGGGGACUGAGACACGGCCCAGACUCCUACGGGAGGAAGCAGGGGGGAAUUUUGGACAAUGGGGGAAAUCCUGAUCCAGCCAGCCCGCGUGUGCGAUGAAGGCCUUCGGGUUGUAAAGCACUUUUGGCAGGAAAGCGGUACCUACAGAAUAAGCACCGGCUAACUACGUGCCAGCAGCCGCGGUAAUUC